UUGACACGCCCCAAUUUAUAAUCUCGGGGCUCGAUGAAAACCCGGACUGCGGAGCUGCAACAGUUUGAAGAAAAUAUUGUUGAGCAAGUAAAGUAAAGCUACAAUAAAUGACAAAACAUUGAUAAAUACAACGCAAACAAACAACAAAAAAAUGAUUAAAAGACAAAAAAAGAAAACAUAAAGGAAGCUGGAGGUGGACAAAGGCAGGAGCGUCCGGCUGCAGAGAGAAAGAAAACGAGAGACUCUUUUGUGAGGAGAGGGUGCAGAGCUUCGCAGAGCUCCAGGCCAUGCUGUGCACAGUUGGGGGGCCUGAAGCUCCAGCAGCCACUUAUUUAAGGAAAGAAAAGCGAAAUCUUCAGUGUUCCAGCCUCACUUUCUUCUUACAAAGCCACAGAGGACUGAACACAGACUUGGUCUCUUUAUUUAUUUUCUUUACUUUUCUUUUUACAUCAUUUUAUGUCUUUUUUGGACCUAAAUGUCGACCCGGGAUUUGGAGAUUACAGUUUGGGUUAAUCAACCUGCAAAAAUUUCAGCCAUUUGACAAGUAGCUGGAAAUACUAUAUAUUUCUGAGCAGAAGGAAAAGAUCUCAGGUAUGUAAAAGUUAGGGUUAGUAUUCGGUCAUACCUAGUUCUGUGUAAUGGAAUGCUAUUCUAUCAAGACACUGAGAUGCUAACGCUUGAGUAUUCCCAUUCACACUCACUAUAGACGCAUAAUGAUAGCUUGAGAAACGGGUAAUGAUUUAAUGAGAGGUUUGAGGAGAUGUGUCAUAAUUCAAUCGAUACAGUACCUGAGGUAGAAUAGUACAGCUUUUAGGAUCAAUAUUUGGCUCACCUCUCCGGGUAUGCAGUAUAAGAGCAGCUUUGUGGUGAAAUAUCAUUUAAAGUCAGCAUAUGCUCAUAUUUUCAGAUUCUGCUCUGUGCUAAUAUUGGCUUGACUUCAAAUUCUUGCCAUAGCGGAGAGUCUGGGAUGUUUGGUUUGGUGGGAAGCCAAUGCUGAAAAUGCCAUAAUAGUUACUGCAGGCCUAGUAGCAACUAAAUUUACAGCCUGUUCAAAACAUGUGAAUAUGGGUUUGAAUGCAGGCUAAUUGUUUGACAUUUCUAAAUCUGUGAUUUAAAAACAGCCCUAAAAAUAGCACACUUUCAUCAGGUUGAUGAACUGUAUAAAAGGGAAAUAUGAAAAAGAACUGUUUUUGCAUGUGAUCCACCUGUGUGAAAUAUACUCAAAGUGUACAUGUAAGUCAUUUCAGUAUCUUUGCACUGAUAGUUUUAACACAAGCAAGGGCAUGAAAUUGGCUGUUUCGUUGCACAUUGCAGUAUCAGCUUAGGAUGAUUACAAGGCUUUAGUAGAUGAGGUGAGAAGUGCAAACUGUUAUUAGAUGAAAGACAACGUAUAAUCCCUUGUAUCCGUCUAGAAAGAACGUAAGAACACUGGUAUUAGACAGAUUCACAUGAAACCCAGGCCAUAAACGGAGCUCUACGGGUAUUAAACUGUAAAUUAAACUGUCCCGUUCGGAACAAUGACUUUAUAUUCCGUGUAUUAAUGUAAACAAUUUUUACAUAACUGAUUACCAUCUUGAUGUAAUCUGCUCAUUAAAUGAUCAAAUCAAAUGUGUUGUUCUAUGGCAGAAAAUGCCUCAUGAUUGAAAUACCUUUAUCCAUUAGGGUUUUAUAAUAAUGUUUUUACGCUGUUUACAUGCUAAAUAGAAAAUUGACAGCAGUCAAUGUAAAUAUAUUUUCAUCAUUUUCAUGUGAGAUUACCAUUAUGUGAAAAGCUGUUUGAAAGCACAAUAAAUUAAUUCAGGGUAACUCUUCAUUACAUAUUUUGCUGGCUAAUUUUCAAAACUGUGCAUUCUAUUGCUAAAAACAAGUUGCUAUAAAAAAAUUUAUGAGACAAAACUUAAUGCAUGCACAGAAGUGUGUAAUAAUAUUUAAAUAAUUUUAUAUUUCAAGGGAAUAAAUCGCUUUAUGAUGUUUCUCUUCAAAUAUGGCUUUAUCUCCCACUUGAAGUCCUCCAUUUCUGUGUGACAAAGAGCACCUCUCUGGAAUAAUUUGAAUGUUCGUGCGCACUGAAAUUUUCUUUAUAAUUUCUUGAGGGGUAUAAUUUCUUUUUUUCCCACUAAUGCAAAACUCACAUAGCCAGAGAAUUAACUUUAUUACUACUAAUUAAAAUAAAUUCAAUUACACUGCUGCUUAUGAAAAUAGGCAGAAUUAUACUGGGAGUCUACAUACUGUGAAUUUACAUUUAUAAAUAUCACAACUUUGAUCUCAGCGAUUUUCUCAUUUUAAAGAACACAGUGUACUAUGCCUACAGCUCUGAAUCAUGCAUUCAUUUUUCAAGAGAAUGCUGUAGCGAAUCAGAAAAGGUUAUUUUGUGUUCAGGUGAUUUACUACCUAAUCACAGAUGUGGAAGUGCGACUGAAACUGUGCUGGCUUGUAAGAGGUGCAAUUUGAAAUAUAAUUACCAGCAGAGUAAUUAAAACAAUGUAGUUUGUUUCAUACCACAGGUCA